UACGUAGGUGGCAAGCGUUGUCCGGAUUUACUGGGCGUAAAGAGCGCGCAGGCGGUCGUGCAAGUCGAGUGUGAAAGCCCCCGGCUCAACUGGGGAGGGUCACGCGAUACUGCUCGACUCGAAGGCAGGAGAGGGAAGUGGAAUUCCCGGUGUAGUGGUGAAAUGCGUAGAUAUCGGGAGGAACACCAGUGGCGAAGGCGACUUCCUGGCCUGUUCUUGACGCUGAGGCGCGAAAGCUAGGGUAGCAAACGGG
rnacentral:rRNA from 1 species